GGACCUGUAGCUCAGCGGUAGAGCAUCUGAUUCCAGCUUGCAAUCUACUGUUCCAAUAGUAGAUGCAGUUGCCUCCAGAAGGUCAUCCGUUCAAAUCGGGUCAGGUUCA